rnacentral:rRNA from 1 species
UGGGGAAUAUUGGACAAUGGGCGAAAGCCUGAUCCAGCCAUGCCGCGUGUGUGAAGAAGGUCUUCGGAUUGUAAAGCACUUUAAGUUGGGAGGAAGGGCAGUAAGCGAAUACCUUGCUGUUUUGACGUUACCGACAGAAUAAGCACCGGCUAACUCUGUGCCAGCAGCCGCGGUAAUACAGAGGGUGCAAGCGUCAAUCGGAAUUACUGGGCGUAAAGCGCGCGUAGGUGGUUCGUUAAGUUGAAUGUGAAAGCCCCGGGCUCAACCUGGGAACUGCAUCCAAAACUGGCGAGCUAGAGUAGGGCAGAGGGUGGUGGAAUUUCCUGUGUAGCGGUGAAAUGCGUAGAUAUAGGAAGGAACACCAGUGGCGAAGGCGACCACCUGGGCUCAUACUGACACUGAGGUGCGAAAGCGUGGGGAGCAAACAGG